rnacentral:rRNA from 1 species
UACGUAGGGUGCGAGCGUUGUCCGGAUUUAUUGGGCGUAAAGAGCUCGUAGGCGGCUUGUCGCGUCGGAUGUGAAAGCCCGGGGCUUAACUCCGGGUCUGCAUUCGAUACGGGCAGGCUAGAGUGUGGUAGGGGAGAUCGGAAUUCCAGGUGUAGCGGUGAAAUGCGUAGAUAUCUGGAGGAAUACCGGUGGCGAAGGCGCAGUCCUGGAGCCGACAUUGACGCUGAGGAGCGAAAGCUAGGGGAGCAACGG